rnacentral:rRNA from 1 species
CAUGUCCUUUAGAAUUUAAUUUAAGGUUUGGUCUGCUCAAUGAAAAUUUUAAAUUGCCGCAGUAUUUUAACUGUGCGAAGGUAGCAUAAUAAUUAGUUUCUUAGUUGGAAGCUGGAAUGAAUGAUUGGACGAGAAAAUAACUGUCUCUUGAGGAGGGUUUAUUUAAUUUUAUUAUUAAGUUAAAAAGCUUAAAUAUUGAUAAAAGACGAGAAGACCCUAUAGAGUUUAAUAUUUAAGGUUUAUUAAUUUUUGGUAAAUUUCUUGAAUCUUAAUUAUUUAGUUGGGGUGACUUAAAGAUUGAAUUAAUUCUUUAAAUAUUUAAUUAUUGAUAAGUAAUUUUUAAAUCUAGUUUUUUAAAUUUAAAAUUAAUUACCUUAGGGAUAACAGCGUAAUUUUUCUUUAAAGCUCUAAUUGAAAGAAGAUUUUGCGACCUCGAUGUUGGAUUAAAAUUAAUUUUUGGUGCAGUAACUAAAAAAUUAGGUCUGUUCGACCUUUAAAAUUUUACAUGAUCUGAGUUUAAACCGGUGUAAGCCAGGUUGGAUUCUAUCUUUAUUUUUUUUAUAUAUUUUAGUACGAAAGGACCAAAUAUGUAUUAUAUGAUAAUUG